GAGCGAAGAGGGAUAAGCUCAAAUUUUAAAUCUAUUGGGUACCUACCUAAUAGAGUUGUAUUUUGAAGAAACGUUUUCUGGUCCUGGAUUAACCCAAAUCCUUCGGAAUAAGGUAUCAUGGAGGGUGAGAAUCCCGUUCAUGGUUAAUCUCAAGGAUGCUUUACGAUACGUCUUCCAAGAGUCGAGUUGUUUGGGAUUGCAGCUCAAAAUGGGAGGUAAAUCUCUCCUAAAGCUAAAUAUUGGCGAGAGACCGAUAGCAAACAAGUACCGUGAGGGAAAGAUGAAAAGAACUUUGAAAAGAGAGUUAAAUAGUACGUGAAAUUGUUGGAAAGGAAACGAUUAAAGUCAGUCAUACCAACGGGAAACCAACCUUUUGAGCUUGGUCUCGUGGGUUUUGAAGAGUUUCAAAGCCUUCGGAUUCGCGGGAUUGGGAUCUCUUGGCGUACUUUUUCGUACGGUUAGUCAACAUCGGUUUUGAAUGUCAUAAAAUGACUGGAGGAAUGUAGCUUCGAUCUCGUAUUGAAGUGUUAUAGCCUUUGGCAGAUGUGAUGUUUGAGACCGAGGAUUGCAACGGAUACCCUUCAGGGCUAUUCGUCUGAUCUCUGAUACGUUGCCUUGAUGUUGAAAGCUUGCUUAUGAUGUUAGGGUAUUACGGUCAAAAGGUUAGAACGAACUACAUUCGUUA
rnacentral:rRNA from 1 species